GUACACAAGCGACACCUGCGGAUUUCAAUCAUGGCACACGAAACUCGCCAGAACUGUCAAGUUGCCAGGGGGUUGAUUAUAACUGAUAGUCUCAGCUCUGUUGAAGCAAUCCGCUCUAUAAAACCAGGAAAAUUCACGCCGUACUUCCUCGAAAUGAUACGAGAUAUAUUGACCACUUUAUCAAGACGUUGCUUUUCUAUCACCUUUAUCUGGGUCCCCUCACAUUGCUCAAUAGCAGGCAAUGAGAGGGCAGAUUCCCUUGCAAAAGUGGGUGCGAUGGAAGGCAACAUUUACCAGCGUGAAAUCGUAUUCAACGAAUUUUACUUCUUGGCUCGAAGAAACUCUCUUGUCAACUGGCAGCGUAGAUGGGACGAGGAUGAGUUGGGUCGGUGGUUCCACUCGAUUAUCCCAAAGUGUUCGACGAGCGCCGCCGUUCUCAAGUUAAGAUUCGCUGAACAAGGAUCAGGAAAAGUUCAAUUGAUGGAGAAAGCGACGAAAAGGAAAACGAUCCAAAAAGAAUGGAUUCCUCAUGAUACCUAAAAACAUCCAGAACCCGCGGAAAAUAUUACCUGGAUGGAAGACGCCUAUAAAAACUACAGGCUACGGCUACGACCCCUACCGAUAAUGCGGAUGCAGAAAAACUGGAUCGGUUUUUUCUACGUUGAUGACUAUCGGAGCGUAAAGAUAAGGUGUGAAGCGAAUGACCUUCGGCCGAAUGGCUUUCGGCGGAAUGACCCAGCCUCAAUUUACCCACAGAUCAACCAUUUCCGAUCUAUUCCACCUAGUUUCACAACCAUGAAAUGUAGAAUAGUCGAGUUUUUGACGAAUAUAAAUAUUUCCAUUUUCACGUUCACAAGAACUGUAAAUUCACCUUAGGAACGACAAAUACACACAGAUGAAUUUGUAGUUGAUUCUAUACGAACUGCGUCAUGCGAUUAAUAAGCCACAUAAGCCAGCCAUUUAACACGAACCGCCGAAUCCAGUGGAACAUCAGGGAAAAGACGAAAUAGCGAUACCGUCGAAUACGAGAGAUACCUACACUUAACAUCAUGCACCCUGCUACCCUGAACUAGUUCAAGACAAUGAGAGAUAAGAAUACAAAAAUUUUGAGAUAUCAAAAACAAUAAUUUUAUAAGUUUUUUUCGCUACACUAAUCAAGCUCGGAUAGUUCGGAAUAAUAAUACAAUUCUAUUCCUACUUAUAAGAUAUUUAUUCGUGUACAGUAAAUCAAUAAAAUUUAAAACUAAAAGAUAUAUUUUAAGUGUUUUUGGUUUGUGAUUUAACACAUUUAAUACAUUUUUUAUAUUUAUUUUAUAUUUUUAACUGUGGAUACCUUUUUAACGAUUUUUAAAACGAGUAAACUAAAAAAGCAAUGAUUUUUCCACAUAAUUUUGAAAGAACAAAUAGUUUUAAUUCAUACUGAUGCAAGUGCAUAUAUUCAUCAUUCCAUGAAAGCAGAACAAAUAUCACCAUUGAAAACUGAACAAAAUGCGCAAAUGUAAAGAUUGACUUCUCUUGCGCAUCUGUAAAGGGAUAGCAAUAAAUAAACAAGAAUGGCUGAAGAAGUGUUGUGAAAAGGAAUUUUUAAAAGGUAUUGAUACAAGCAUGUCAGUUCAUAAAAAAUAUACAGACAAAAUACAUUUCCAGAGCAGUCAUUUAUAGCAGUUUUUUUUAUUCCACUGGCUCAGUGACGACCUAUCACUCAUAUUAAAAAAAAUCAAGACUGCCUGACUUGGUGUCAUGUUCAUCUACUCACACACUCAAUAGCACCCUGACAUGGGGCACUGG